GCUCCGUAGGUGAACCUGCGGAGGGAUCAUUACAGAGUUCAUGCCCUACCGGGUAGAUCUCCCACCCUAUGUUAUUAUUACUUUGUUGCUUUGGCGGGCCGUUAGGCUCCGGCCCGACUACCGGCCCCGGCUGGUAAGCGCCCGCCAGAGGACCCAAAACCCUGAACAUUAGUGUCGUCUGAGUACUAUAUAAUAGUUAAAACUUUCAACAACGGAUCUCUUGGCUCUC
rnacentral:misc_RNA from 1 species